UCAUACUAACCGGGGAGAUAGCGGUGCCCUGUACCUGCAAUCCGCUACAGCAGGGGUGAGUAGCCUUUUGAGGGCUAUACCUGUGUCGCUGCGCUUUUGCAAAGCCGUUGAUAAGCGGGUCCUGCGCAAUUCGCAUUUUGCGAAUUAUGUCAGGUGGGGAACCAAGCAGCAUUAAGCAUUAUUUGCGGAUGUGCCGCGGGAGUGCCUGCUUUGAGGCAGAGCAAAAGUUUACGGGCGUAGGUAUUGUUCGAUUUUGGCUGUAUGG
rnacentral:SRP_RNA from 1 species